rnacentral:sRNA from 1 species
GCAUAUUUCAGGACAGCUCAGAGGCCUAUUGUGUUUUCCCGUCGUUAGUUAAUGUUCCGGUUUUUAUUGACAUGGAGACUGAGCCAAAACAAGGCAAGAUAUGUGUUUGUUCUUUUUAAACUGUCUUCCUCAUGAGCAAAUUCAACGAGGAAAUGUCGGAAAGCACAAGGACAUUUGAAAGACCUCGUGCGAGGGAAGCCAACCGAGAACACCCGGGUAACGACAAGCAUCCCAAAAUUACUCUAAUGUGUCACAGUUUUAAGUUUUCACAAGUAUGUGCAAGUAUCAUAUUGUGCGAAAUAAAACAGACUGAAAAAACAACACGCCAUCUGUAGAUAAUGAACUCAAACAGUGCAAAAAAGUCAUCACGCAUAGAACAACGUGUGCUUAGCUGAGUAGAUGAGGUUACAAAAGCAAGCUACUUCACACGCGCUGACAAUAACAAAAAAACUGAAAAGAAUACUUAAUGAUACCCCAUCUUCUUUUUUUUCUUUCCACUGCUAACUGUGAUACGCUAACAUAGACACAGUUUCCGUGACCUUGCGGUCAAUGAGGAGAGGACCAUUGUCUUGACAACGAUAACAUUGUAGUGACUUUGACCUAAUUGAUAAUAACGGUAUGUGAUGGGACCUUGAUUCAUACACUGUCAACUGUAUACCAACAAAUUGAUAUUGGCCCCACGUAUUCAAACAUUAGUUAUAUAUUAUGUGAUUGCGGGGAAAAACAUUUUAGAAUUUAUCGUAGUACUUGAAAUUGACGCCGCACUGCAAUUAUGAAAAGAUUAUUUUAAAAAUCUGUUCCGUGACUUGCGUGCCAUGCUCGAAUAAUAGAUAUAUACUGUGAUUAGGUAAUGACAAAAUUGAACACCAUUAGAGCCUGUCUCUCUCUUUUUAUUGUAAUGUUAAAAAAAAUCAAAACGCCGUUAACUUCAUUUUGAUGAACGAUGUUAGCGAAACACUUGAACAACACCUUGCAUCAAGGAAAAAUGCACGAGCUUGUCAAGCAUUGAAGUAAAAAGACAGACAAUGUUUUGUAAAUUAUAUGGAGCCUGUAAUCUCACUGGAGAAAUCAUAAUCAUUGAAAUUGUUUGGUUUACAGUCAUUGAUACGUUAAAAAUACAUAAUGGUAGAACAGCACGGGAUGAACUUCGUAUAUGUGCAUAGUAUACUUAUAAAAAUUCUUCUUUUAGACUAUCUUCAUGAAUUUUUUGCUGAGAGCAAAUUGAUGGAUAAAUCAUGUUUUUAUUCAAGAGGAUUUUGUCAGCACUACAAUGUGAAGAAGUUCUAGUGCGCGGCCGCCGGAUUCGGCACAGCGCCCAAGGAUAUUCAGAAUCCAGGCUCCAUACUACCAUGUACGUAAAGUGUACAGGAGUUCAUCCACUCACUUCAUUUUACAUUCUUGUGACCUUUUCAACUUUUUAAUUUAAUUUGACCAGAUAUUUAUUCUACAGAGAGAGAGAGAGAGAGAGAGAGAGAGAGAGAGAGAGAGAGAGAGAGAGAGAGAUGGUUUGACUAAUGAAAGCGACGUAACUUGUGCACAUUGUACACAUACAUUUUCUGGUGGUUUUUAAGGACAUCUGCCUGUGUAAUGUAUAAUUUCUUUAUAAAAAAUUCGCUGUGAACAAAUUUUCUCCUAUUUUUUUGUCUCUCGAAUAUGUCGCCGUCAUAAAAUACGCCUGGGCAUGGAGCAGAAUUAGAAUUAUAAAAUUUGAUUAUAUUGCAAUUAGGAAAUAUCAAAUUAAUAAAUAUAUUAACUCUUACAAAUAU